rnacentral:rRNA from 1 species
UUGACCUCAAAUCAGGUAGGACUACCCGCUGAACUUAAGCAUAUCAAUAAGCGGAGGAAAAGAAACUAACAAGGAUUCCCCUAGUAACUGCGAGUGAAGCGGGAAGAGCUCAAAUUUAAAAUCUGGCGGUUCUUGACCGUCCGAGUUGUAAUCUAGAGAAGUGUUACCCGUGCUGGACCGUGUACAAGUCUCCUGGAAUGGAGCAUCAUAGAGGGUGAGAAUCCCGUCUUUGACAUGGACUGCCUGCACGUCUUGGUGCGCUCUCGAAGAGUCGAGUUGUUUGGGAAUGCAGCUCAAAAUGGGUGGUAAAUGCCAUCUAAAGCUAAAUAUUGGCGAGAGACCGAUAGCGAACAAGUACCGUGAGGGAAAGAUGAAAAGAACUUUGGAAAGAGAGUUAAACAGUACGUGAAAUUGCUGAAAGGGAAACGCUUGAAGUCAGUCGCGUUGGCUAGAAAUCAGCCUUGCUUUUGCUUGGUGUACUUUCUUGUUGACGGGUCAGCAUCAGUUUCGACCGCUGGAUAAGGAUUUUGGGAAUGUGGCAUCCUUGGAUGUGUUAUAGCCCAUUGUCGCAUGCAGUGGUGGGGAUUGAGGAACUCAGCACGCCGCAAGGCCGGGUCUCUGACCACGCUCGUGCUUAGGAUGCUGGCAUAAUGGCUUUAAYCGACCCGUC